UACGUAGGGUGCAAGCGUUAAUCGGAAUUACUGGGCGUAAAGCGUGCGCAGGCGGUGAUGUAAGACAGAUGUGAAAUCCCCGGGCUCAACCUGGGAACUGCAUUUGUGACUGCAUCGCUCGAGUGCGGCAGAGGGGGAUGGAAUUCCGCGUGUAGCAGUGAAAUGCGUAGAUAUGCGGAGGAACACCGAUGGCGAAGGCAAUCCCCUGGGCCUGCACUGACGCUCAUGCACGAAAGCGUGGGGAGCAAACAGG
rnacentral:rRNA from 1 species